GACGAACGCUGGCGGCGUGCUUAACACAUGCAAGUCGAACGGAAAGGCCCUGCUUUUGUGGGGUGCUCGAGUGGCGAACGGGUGAGUAACACGUGAGUAACCUGCCCUUGACUUUGGGAUAACUUCAGGAAACUGGGGCUAAUACCGGAUAGGAGCUCCUGCUGCAUGGUGGGGGUUGGAAAGUUUCGGCGGUUGGGGAUGGACUCGCGGCUUAUCAGCUUGUUGGUGGGGUAGUGGCUUACCAAGGCUUUGACGGGUAGCCGGCCUGAGAGGGUGACCGGCCGCAUUGGGACUGAGAUACGGCCCAGACUCCUACGGGAGGCAACAGUGGGGAAUAUUGCACAAUGGGCGGAAGCCUGAUGCAGCAACGCCGCGUGCGGGAUGACGGCCUUCGGGUUGUAACCGCUUUCGCCUGUGACGAAGCGUGAGUGACGGUAAUGGGUAAAGAAGCACCGGCUAACUACGUG
rnacentral:rRNA from 1 species